AUUGAACGCUGGCGGCAUGCCUUACACAUGCAAGUCGAACGGUAACAGAUCUUCGGAUGCUGACGAGUGGCGAACGGGUGAGUAAUACAUCGGAACGUGCCCGAGAGUGGGGGAUAACGAAGCGAAAGCUUUGCUAAUACCGCAUACGAUCUCAGGAUGAAAGCAGGGGACCGCAAGGCCUUGCGCUCACGGAGCGGCCGAUGGCAGAUUAGGUAGUUGGUGGGAUAAAAGCUUACCAAGCCGACGAUCUGUAGCUGGUCUGAGAGGACGACCAGCCACACUGGGACUGAGACACGGCCCAGACUCCUACGGGAGGCAGCAGUGGGGAAUUUUGGACAAUGGGCGCAAGCCUGAUCCAGCCAUGCCGCGUGCAGGAUGAAGGCCUUCGGGUUGUAAACCGUACUUUCCUAGUAGGACGGAAGCGCAAGUGACGGUACCGUACACGAAGAAGACAACCGGCCGAACUACGUGCCAGCAGCCGCGGUAA
rnacentral:rRNA from 1 species